rnacentral:rRNA from 1 species
GACGGAGGAUGCAAGUGUUAUCCGGAAUCACUGGGCGUAAAGCGUCUGUAGGGGGUUUAAUAAGUCAACUGUUAAAUCUUGAGGCUCAACCUCAAAAUCGCAGUCGAAACUAUUAGGCUAGAGUAUAGUAGGGGUAAAGGGAAUUUCCAGUGGAGCGGUGAAAUGCGUAGAGAUUGGAAAGAACACCGAUGGCGAAGGCACUUUACUGGGCUAUUACUAACACUCAGAGACGAAAGCUAGGGUAGCAAAUGGG